rnacentral:rRNA from 1 species
CGANGAAAGGAGACGCGGUCGUCUGCGUACACAUGCAAGUGGAACGAUGACACCCAGCUUGCUGGGUGGAUUAGUGGCGAACGGGUGAGUAACACGUGAGCAACCUGCCCCUGACUCUGGGAUAAGCGCUGGAAACGGCGUCUAAUACUGGAUAUGAGCUCCUGCCGCAUGGUGGGGGUUGGAAAGAUUUUUUGGUUGGGGAUGGGCUCGCGGCCUAUCAGCUUGUUGGUGAGGUAAUGGCUCACCAAGGCGUCGACGGGUAGCCGGCCUGAGAGGGUGACCGGCCACACUGGGACUGAGACACGGCCCAGACUCCUACGGGAGGCAGCAGUGGGGAAUAUUGCACAAUGGGCGGAAGCCUGAUGCAGCAACGCCGCGUGAGGGAUGACGGCCUUCGGGUUGUAAACCUCUUUUAGCAGGGAAGAAGCGAGAGUGACGGUACCUGCAGAAAAAGCACCGGCUAACUACGUGCCAGCAGCCGCGGUAAUACGUAGGGUGCAAGCGUUAUCCGGAAUUAUUGGGCGUAAAGAGCUCGUAGGCGGUCUGUCGCGUCUGCUGUGAAAUCCCGAGGCUCAACCUCGGGC